UACGUAGGGUGCGAGCGUUAAUCGGAAUUACUGGGCGUAAAGCGUGCGCAGGCGGUUCGUUAAGUUCGUUGUGAAAGCCCCGGGCUCAACCUGGGAACUGCAAUGGAAACUGGCGGGCUUGAGUGUGGCAGAGGGGGGUGGAAUUCCGCGUGUAGCAGUGAAAUGCGUAGAGGUGCGGAGGAACACCGAUGGCGAAGGCAGCCCCCUGGGCCAACACUGACGCUCAGGCACGAAAGCGUGGGGAGCAAACAGG
rnacentral:rRNA from 1 species